CCAGAUUUAACAUGCACGUAUAUGGCAAAUUGUAUUAUUUGCAUACCGGAGCUGAAUCUUAUGAUAAGUGUAAUGCAUGUCACGACAUACAAACAUGGCACGAGAUUUUAGGCCACUAGAACUAUGACGAUGUUCUUAAGUUGCAGGGUGUUGUUGAAGGUAUGCAGAUAAAGGGUAAAACAGGCAGACCCGAACAAGAGUGUGAGGUGUGUAUUCAGGGAAAGUUUGCCCAAACCAGAAAUAGGGACCAUGAUACCAGAGCAAAGGCUCCUUUACUGAUGGUACACAAAGACCUUGCAGAUCCAAUAGCCACAGAGUUGAUAGACGGUUACAAAUAUGUGCAGUCAUUCACUGACGAUUACUCUAGCGCAAUGUUCGUAUAUUUCCUAAAGAGGAAAAGUGACACCGUACAGGCUACUGAAAAGUUCCUAGCAGAUGUAUCCCCUUACGGGAAAGUGAGGUGCAUCAGAUCCGACAAAAGAACAGAGUUUACGUGCAGUGAUUUUCAAGCACUGUUGAGGAAAAACAAAAUCACACAUGAAACAUCAGCUCUGUAUUCCCCACACCAGAACGGAACUGCAGAGAGGGGUUGGCGUUUUCUUUUUGAGAUGGGCAGGUGCAUGGUAGUUGAAAGUGCACUACCAAAGCAGCUAUGGCACUACGCAGUACAAACAGCAGCAAUGGUACGCAACAGGUGUUUUAACAGGCGUACAGGGCAGACUUCUUAUGAGUCGCUUAUAGAAAAGAAGCCUAAUGUGUCAAAAAUGCAAAAGUUUGGAUCUGUAUGCUACACGUACAAACAGGACAAGGGAAAAUUUGAUUCCAGGUGUGACCAGGGUCGUUUUGUAGGUUAUGACAAGAACAGCCUGGCAUAUUUGGUGUAUCAUCCAGAUACAAACAAAGUACAAAAACACAGGCUAGUGAAGUUUGUGAGCAAGGCUAUGAUGUUCCAUUUGUGCCAAAAUUAUGUCGACAUGCUGUCUGUCUAUGCUAUGUGUCGUCUCAACUUACUCCUGUCAUCUGUCCUUGUCGUUUGACUUUGUCGUCUUGCGUGUCAAUGCUGCAUGUGUUAUGACUAUGUGUUUUUUCAUUCUGUCGUUGCUAUGCAUCGUUUUCCAUGUCUAUGGUAUGCGUCGUUACUAUGUGUCGUUUUCUUCUGUCGUUACUAUGUGUCGUCUUCCAUGUCUAUGCUAUGCGUCGUUGCUAUCCGUCGUUUCCCUCUGUCUUUACUAUGUGUUGUCUUCCAUGUCUAUGCUAUGCGUCGUUACUAUGUGUUGUCUUCCAUGUCUAUGCUAUGCGUCGUUGCUAUGCGUCGUUUCCCUCUGUCGUUACUAUGUGUCGUCUUCCAUGUCUAUGCUAUGCGUCGUUACUAUGCGUCGUUUCCCUCUGUCGUUACUAUGUGUCGUCUUCCAUGUCUAUGCUAUGCGUCGUUACUAUGCGUCGUUUCCCUCUGUCGUUACUAUGUGUCGUCUUCCAUGUCUAUGCUAUGCGUCGUUACUAUGCGUCGUUUCCCUCUGUCGUUACUAUGUGUCGUCUUCCAUGUCUAUGCUAUGCGUCGUUACUAUGCGUCGUUUCCCUCUGUCGUUACUAUGUGUCGUCUUCCAUGUCUAUGCUAUGCGUCGUUACUAUGCAUCGUUUCCCUCUGUCGUUACUAUGUGUCGUCUUCCAUGUCUAUGCUAUGCGUCGUUACUAUGCGUCGUUUCCCUCUGUCGUUACUAUGUGUCGUCUUCCAUGUCUAUGCUAUGCGUCGUUACUAUGCAUCGUUUCCCUCUGUCGUUACUAUGUGUCGUCUUCCAUGUCUAUGCUAUGCGUCGUUACUAUGCAUCGUUUCCCUCUGUCGUUACUAUGUGUCGUCUUCCAUGUCUAUGCUAUGCGUCGUUACUAUGCAUCGUUUCCCUCUGUCGUUACUAUGUGUCGUCUUCCAUGUCUAUGCUAUGCGUCGUUACUAUGCAUCGUUUCCCUCUGUCGUUACUAUGUGUCGUCUUCCAUGUCUAUGCUAUGCGUCGUUACUAUGCAUCGUUUCCCUCUGUCGUUACUAUGUGUCGUCUUCCAUGUCUAUGCUAUGCGUCGUUACUAUGCAUCGUUUCCCUCUGUCGUUACUAUGUGUCGUCUUCCAUGUCUAUGCUAUGCGUCGUUACUAUGCAUCGUUUCCCUCUGUCGUUACUAUGUGUCGUCUUCCAUGUCUAUGCUAUGCGUCGUUACUAUGCAUCGUUUCCCUCUGUCGUUACUAUGUGUCGUCUUCCAUGUCUAUGCUAUGCGUCGUUACUAUGCAUCGUUUCCCUCUGUCGUUACUAUGUGUCGUCUUCCAUGUCUAUGCUAUGCGUCGUUACUAUGCGUCGUUUCCCUCUGUCGUUUCCCUCUGUCGUUACUAUGCGUCAUCUUCCAUGUCUAUGCUAUGCGUCGUUUUCCUCUGUCGUUACUAUGUGCCGUCUUCCAUGUCUAUGCUAUGCGUCGUUUCCCUCUGUCGUUACUAUGAGUCAUCUUCCCUGUCUAUACUAUGCGUCGUUUCCCUCUGUCGUUACUAUGAGUCAUCUUCCCUGUCUAUACUAUGCGUCGUUUCCCUCUGUCGUUACUAUGUGCCUUCUUCCAUGUCUAUGCUAUGCGUCGUUUCCCUCUGUCGUUACUAUGAGUCAUCUUCCCUGUCUAUACUAUGCGUCGUUUCCCUCUGUCGUUACUAUGUGUUGUUUUCCAUGUCUAUGCUAUGCGUCGUUACUAUGCGUCGUUUCCCUCUGUCUUUACUAUGUGUUGUUUUCCAUGUCUAUGCUAUGCGUCGUUACUAUGCGUCGUUUCCCUCUGUCGUUACUAUGUGUUGUCUUCCAUGUCUAUGCUAUGCGUUGUUUUCCUCUGUCAUUACUGUGUCGUCUUCCAUGUCUAUGCUAUGCGUCGUUACUAUGCGUCGUUUUCCUCUGUCUUUACUAUGUGUUGUUUUCCAUGUCUAUGCUAUGCGUCGUUUCUAUGCGUCGUUUCCCUCUGUCGUUUUUAUGUGUCAUCUUCCAUGUCUAUGCUAUGCGUCGUUGCUAUGCGUCGUUUCCCUCUGUCGUUACUAUGUGUCGUCUUCCAUGUCUAUGCUAUGCGUCUAUGCUAUGCGUCGUUUCCCUCUGUCGUUACUAUGUCGUCUUCCAUGUCUAUGCUAUGCGUCGUUUCCCUCUCUUUUGUAUAUUUUUUGUAAAAUAGUAAGUUCUAUUUUAUUUUUAUACUGUACACUUAACAGUUUUUGUAAUAUUUCUUACGGUCCUCUGUUUUUAUUCUUUAAGUGAGUGUUGUAGCCUAGCCUAUUUUAUAGCAAAGAUUAAUCAGAGUCAAAUUCUUUGUUUGUUUACUCAAACCUGGCCAAUAAAGCUGAUUCUGAUGUCA
ensembl:lncRNA